CUGGAGGUUGCUGACGAAAGAAGAGAAGGAAACAGCAGGAAAAAGAGAAGAAGGGGGAGAAAGAGAAAAGAAAUAGGAGAGGGAGGAGGAGAAAAGCAAGGGAAUUAGAAAGAAAGGAAGACGGGGGAGAAGGAAGCAGAAUUGUUUAGGAAACAAGGGUGAGGGAAAGAGAGAUUUGUAGCUGUGAGAAACUAAGAAAGGAGAAGAGCAAGUGUUAUCAGGAAGUUUGGGAGAAGAAAAUUCAUUUUUGGGUGUUGUUGUUGUCUUGCGUUUUUGAGAGAGAGAGAGAGAGUGAGAGAGUGAGAGAGAGAGAGAGAGAGAGAGAGAGAGAGUUGGAUAGUUUGGGGUUUGUGUCAAAGGCUGUGACUUGUGUACUUCCGAUUCUGAGAAGGAUUCGAUUUUUGUUUCAGAAGUGAAAAGCUUUCUUUUGAGUUGUGUACUGUCUUUGUUUGCUUUGCCUUACGGUGAAUGCUUCUAUUUCCGAAUUUGUGUUUCUUCUCUUGAUAUUAUGUUCUUAUUGAUUAUUCAUAAUAGUAUGUUGUUAUGAGACUGCCUUAUUAAUUGGGUAAUUCAUUUGUGAAAUUUGAGUAUAUGAACAGCGAUGUGGUUGUUCUGUGCUUCUAGUGGUUUGAUUUUAUAUCUAUUAUUUUCGUACUGUAUGGGUGGCUUUCCUUUUAAAUGUACUGGAUUUCUUAAACCAACUUGAUUUACUGAAUGUUUUCUAUUUUUGUUCUAUAGAUUGAAAUCUUACCUUACUGAAGUACAAGUAUCGCUGGACCUAGACCAAGCAAGUUAGUUAUUUUCAAAUUUGUGUGUACUGGGUGGUGCUACUUCAUAGACAGUGUUGUAGGGGACUAGUCUCACUUGAUCAACCUAAUGCUAUUCGUACUACAAGCAAGACCAGGGAAUACCAGCAGCAAGUAAAACAUUGGAUAGUUCUGAUGCAUGUGUGACUGUUCUUUGUAUUAAACUUGCUACGUGGUGGCCAUGGGAUGAACAAGUCAAGCAAAGUUGUUGGAGAACGUGAUGCAGCUAAGACUGUUGAAACUGAUGCUAUUCCUGCUCUUCAGAAACUGCAGAAGAAGAAAGGAAGAGAACUACAAAAGAAAUAAAGGCAAGAAAGGCUGCAGAAUCUUUUAACAAAUUUUUAUGGUGCUGGAAUUACACGUUCCUGUCACAACCAUAGGCGUGUCAAUUAUAUAUUUGGUAUGGUGCAAAUAUUUGACAUUCACGUUUACUUAUGCAGUAUGCAGUCUGGUUUUUGCGAAAUCUAUUUCUCAGUUUUCUUCAUUAAUGAACUACACUUUCUCGAUUGCUUGAAAGGAAGCAUAUUUUGUGUGUCUGAAGCCAAGUCAUCAGAAAAUGAAAUUUGAAUAAUAUAACUUGAUUGAUGUGAGAUUAUCAAGUCGCCCUAAUCAAUCAAGUUUGCAGAGUCGCAGAAAAAGAGCUGUAUCAAAGCCAUAUGAAGUAGCACACUUGUUGCUGGUACAUUUCGAUAAGGAAAGCAUCUUUUUUGUGCUUCUCUACUGGUAGAUUGUCAUGCACCAUAUGCGGCAUGUUUUGGAACAAUAUAUGUGUGUGUCAGCUUUUUGAUGUCCCAAGUAGAUGGGCAUGCACUAGAAUGCUUUUCUUAUUUAAAAUUUUGGUUUCAAUGAUUGGGAAA